rnacentral:lncRNA from 1 species
AUACUUCAUGCCUUAGACUUUUUGCUUCAGUGCAGACUCUGGAAAUAUGAGCUCUUCUGGUGGGGUGUGCACUUUAUCCUUCUAGGCCAACUUUCAGCAGAAGGGAUCUUCCACAGCGGGAAAAAAUGAACAGUCCAGUCAAGGAUGUUUUCAAAGCAGUUUGGUAGCUUGCCACAACUUUUAUCUAUUUUCCCUUCCCUGACCUCUUCUCCCCUUUUUAUCCUCUUGGCCAGUAUUGUGAGAAUAGCAUGACUUGUGCUGCUGGGCACGGGUCAGUAACACAACUGCCAGAUACGAGGGAAGGAUUACUUCUGCAUGGCUACACUGGCCCAUAAGUGAGGAAUCAAGCAACCGUCCAUUAAUGAUUUUAUUCUUGUCUGUCUCUAGGCAGAUUGGGUUCUGUGUGCUAUCUUUGAUCUGCUUUUUAGGUUAGUUAAACUCUGUCUGUAUGAAUUAAAUGGGAAUUUUGUCUUUUCAGGAAGAAGAGAUGCCAGAUGUAGAAAUUGACAUUGAUGACCUUCUUGAUGCAGCCAAUGAAGAAGAGAGAGCUCUCAAAUUACAGGAAACUCUUGUAGAUUGCUACAAACCAACAGAGGUAAAAAGACUUUUCUUAAAUACUAUUCAUCUGUGACAAUGUAGCUAUGCUCAAGUUUAAGAAACUUUAUUUAUUUCACUUAUUUUAAAGUUAACAUAGGAAUGUUAAUGGCAAGCUGAUGGGCUUGGGACUUUAUUUGCUGAGAAUGCUGAAGCCUGUCAUUUGACUAUGGUAGGAAUGAACUGUGACUGAACUGUGAUCAUUCCACCAGAAGUAUACCAUUGUUGUCCUAUGUAACAUCAUGGUUGAAUUUACUGAUGCUUAUGGGUGUCAUGAUACAAGAGAACUAGACACAGUUUUCAACACAUGCUCAAAAAAACCUCAAUCCUACUAUAUUUCCAUGAAUUUCAACUUGAGAGAUGAACUGUGUGCUCUUCAAGGUGAAGUCAUGUAAUUUUAAUGUUGGUAGUAAAUCUGGGAACUGUAAUGCAGAUAGAUACACAUCUCAGCUAGUUCUGUCUGUGAGUAGACUUCAAUGAUGGUGGGACAACCUGAACUAGCAAGAUAUAGUUUAAAGUAUUCAAUUUUCAACUUGGUUUUCACCAUGAUGAGCAGUGCUGUAAUAUCUGUAAUUGUAGCCACUUAAUCUACUGGGCCUUACAGACAAUCAUACUGUCAGGAAGAACUACUGUUACAAUUACAGAUAGAUUUUCCAGCCCUCUGGAUGCUUUCUUUGAAAACUUUUCCAUUUUAUUUAUUCCUGUGGCACAUUGGAAAAGUUGUCCAGAAAUUGCUGGUAAUAAAUAAUUUUUUGACAGUAGAGGGAGCUGACCC